AUGCACGCUGGCGGCGUGCUUAACACAUGCAAGUCGAACGGUGAAGCGCCUUCCUUUUUGGUGGGUGUGGAUGAGUGGCGAACGGGUGAGUAACACGUGAGUAACCUGCCCCCUUCUUCUGGAUAACCGCAUGAAAGUGUGGCUAAUACGGGAUAUUCUGGGUCUGUCGCAUGAUGGGUCUGGGAAAGAUAUUGUUUCGGUGGGGGAUGGGCUCGCGGCCUAUCAGCUUGUUGGUGGGGUGAUGGCCUACCAAGGCGGUGACGGGUAGCCGGCCUGAGAGGGUGGACGGUCACACUGGGACUGAGACACGGCCCAGACUCCUACGGGAGGCAGCAGUGGGGAAUAUUGCACAAUGGGCGCAAGCCUGAUGCAGCGACGCCGCGUGAGGGAUGGAGGCCUUCGGGUUGUGAACCUCUUUCGCCAGUGAAGCAGGCCUGCCUCGUUUGUGGGUGGGUUGACGGUAGCUGGAUAAGAAGCGCCGGCUAACUACGUG
rnacentral:rRNA from 1 species